GGGGCAUUGUCAGGAUACAAGAGACAUUGUAAUUGAGAAAAGAAUUCUUCUCCUUAGAGAAAUAUCCUAUCAGGUGGCAGCCAGUGUUGUCAGCUUCUGUCAUGACAUAGAAGAGGAAGGGUUCAACAUCAUAAUACAAUGUUUUAUGGUCCAAGAAAAGCUUUGCCAGCAGACAUAGGUUUUGACAGUAGAUCUUGUUCUUUUUCCCAUCAACUUCAAAAACUGAAAUGGAGCCUUUGCGGUAGAUUUC
rnacentral:lncRNA from 1 species